rnacentral:rRNA from 1 species
UACGUAGGUGGCAAGCGUUGUCCGGAUUUACUGGGCGUAAAGAGCGCGCAGGCGGUCGUUCAAGUCGCGUGUGAAAGCCCCCGGCUCAACUGGGGAGGGUCACGCGAUACUGAUCGACUGGAAGGCAGGAGAGGGUAGUGGAAUUCCCGGUGUAGUGGUGAAUGCGUAGAUAUCGGGAGGAACACCAGUGGCGAAGGCGACUACCUGGCCUGUUCUUGACGCUGAGGCGCGAAAGCUGAGGGGAGCAAACGGGG